CCUUGUGAUUCGCCCGUCUCGGCCUCCCAAAGUGCUGGGAUUACAGGCGUGAGCCACCGCGCCCGGCCCUUUUUUCUGUUUUAUCUAUCCACUCAUUUUCCAUGUGUCAUAGGUCUUGUAACAGAAAUACGCUGAGAUUUCAAAUAGAACCUAGAAAGUUUUGUGGAAACAUCCAAACACCCCAAAAUUCAAAUAUAAUCCUUAGAUAACCUGCUGUAAUAUGGAAUUCAGGAAGAAAAAAAUCCCCAGCCCCACCCGACAAGAACUCCUUGUCCUAUAAAAUCCUCAGUCUGCCAUGGGAACACUUUAGGACUGCUCAGAAGGACCGGAAACCAUCCUUUAUGGAGAACACCUCCUGUCUGGCCCUGCCUCCUUCUGGAAGAGAUGAUGAUUUAUGCUUAUCUCAAUCACAGUCAAACCCAGGAGAGAGGGAAGAUGAGAUGUAAGCUCCUGGUCACCACCUGAAACUGCACGAAGCUUAGGAAUGAACAGAGAAAGCACAUCCAAGAGAUGGUGACAUCUUUGAGGUACUAUCAACCUGCACCUGGAACCAGUGUGGUUUUUAAGUCAUUUGAACCAAUAUAUUUUCUUUAAAUUACUUAAGCCAGUUUGAGUUUCACCUUCUGUUUCUCAAAGUAAAAAGAACCUGCAUACAGCUUCUUGUACAUGAAUAUUGAUAUCUCUUCACAGAUUUGGGACGUUUUUAGCUAUUAUUUCUUUAGAUAGGCUUUGUGUCCCUUUAUCUCUCUCUUCUCUUUCUGAAAUUGUAUAUGUAAAUAUUAGUUCUCUUCAUGGUUUCCCAUAGAUCCCAUAGACUUCUUUUAUUCUUUUUUCUUUUUGUUCCUUCAACUGGAUAAUUUCAAGUGUCCUGUCUUUUAGUUCACUUAUUCUUUCUUCUGCUUAAUUGAACCUACUGUGGAAACUUUCUAUUGAAUUUUUCAGUUUAUUCAUUAUACCUUAUAAAUAUAUACAAUUGUUAUGUAUCAAUUAAAAAUAAAUUUUAAAAGGAACAAAUGCCAUAUAAAUAGCAACUCCACUUG
rnacentral:lncRNA from 1 species